GAGUGAACGCUGGCGGUAGGCCUAACACAUGCAAGUCGAACGGCAGCACAGUAAGAGCUUGCUCUUACGGGUGGCGAGUGGCGGACGGGUGAGGAAUACAUCGGAAUCUACUUUUUCGUGGGGGAUAACGUAGGGAAACUUACGCUAAUACCGCAUACGACCUACGGGUGAAAGCAGGGGAUCUUCGGACCUUGCGCGAUUGAAUGAGCCGAUGUCGGAUUAGCUAGUUGGCGGGGUAAAGGCCCACCAAGGCGACGAUCCGUAGCUGGUCUGAGAGGAUGAUCAGCCACACUGGAACUGAGACACGGUCCAGACUCCUACGGGAGGCAGCAGUGGGGAAUAUUGGACAAUGGGCGCAAGCCUGAUCCAGCCAUACCGCGUGGGUGAAGAAGGCCUUCGGGUUGUAAAGCCCUUUUGUUGGGAAAGAAAAGCAGCAGGUUAAUACCCCGCUGUUCUGACGGUACCCAAAGAAUAAGCGCCGGCUAACUUCGUG
rnacentral:rRNA from 1 species